CCUACGGGCGGCAGCAGUGGGGAAUAUUGGACAAUGGGGGCAACCCUGAUCCAGCCAUGCCGCGUGUGUGAAGAAGGCCCUCGGGUUGUAAAGCACUUUCAGUGAGGAAGAACGCCUGGUGGUUAAUACCCAUCAGGAAAGACAUCACUCACAGAAGAAGCACCGGCUAACUCCGUGCCAGCAGCCGCGGUAAUACGGAGGGUGCGAGCGUUAAUCGGAAUUACUGGGCGUAAAGCGCGCGUAGGUGGCUUGAUAAGCCGGUUGUGAAAGCCCCGGGCUCAACCUGGGAACGGCAUCCGGAACUGUCAAGCUAGAGUGCAGGAGAGGAAGGUAGAAUUCCCGGUGUAGCGGUGAAAUGCGUAGAGAUCGGGAGGAAUACCAGUGGCGAAGGCGGCCUUCUGGACGGACACUGACACUGAGGUGCGAAAGCGUGGGUAGCAAACAGGAUUAGAUACCCUAGUAGUC
rnacentral:rRNA from 1 species